ACUUGUACCGACUGGAUGAGCAGCGAACGGGUGAGUAACGCGUGGGGAAUCUGCCUUUGAGCGGGGGACAACAUUUGGAAACGAAUGCUAAUACCGCAUAAAAACUUUAAACACAAGUUUUAAGUUUGAAAGAUGCAAUUGCAUCACUCAAAGAUGAUCCCGCGUUGUAUUAGCUAGUUGGUGAGGUAAAGGCUCACCAAGGCGAUGAUACAUAGCCGACCUGAGAGGGUGAUCGGCCACAUUGGGACUGAGACACGGCCCAAACUCCUACGGGAGGCAGCAGUAGGGAAUCUUCGGCAAUGGACGAAAGUCUGACCGAGCAACGCCGCGUGAGUGAAGAAGGUUUUCGGAUCGUAAAACUCUGUUGGUAGAGAAGAACGUUGGUGAGAGUGGAAAGCUCAUCAAGUGACGGUAACUACCCAGAAAGGGACGGCUAACUACGUGCCAGCAGCCGCGGUAAUACGUAGGUCCCGAGCGUUGUCCGGAUUUAUUGGGCGUAAAGCGAGCGCAGGUGGUUUAUUAAGUCUGGUGUAAAAGGCAGUGGCUCAACCAUUGUAUGCAUUGGAAACUGGUAGACUUGAGUGCAGGAGAGGAGAGUGGAAUUCCAUGUGGUAGCGGU
rnacentral:rRNA from 1 species